GGCCGCGCCGGGCGGGGGAGGGCGCGCGGCGCGGCUCGUUGCUAUGGUUACUAAGCGACGCCUGGCCUCGCGCUGGGCCGGGGUGGGGAGCGCGGCAGCAAACGCCCCAGCGUCCGGGACGGUCCCCGCCCUCCCCCUCGGCCGGCGGCCGGAGUGGGAGCAGCCGGGGGUUGGGAGAGCUGGGAGCCGCUCGUGCGUCGCCAGGCCCCGCCAGUGUGUGCCCGGGGCCAGUCACGGGGCCGCGGGCCCAGCGCCCCAAGGCCUGUGAGCCCCUCCCCCGACAGGCCGGGAGGCGCUUCGAGCGCUGCUGGUGAAAGGGGGGUUCAGCAGGAAGGCCAGCGACCGAAUGGGCUACGGAGACUGAAUUCCCCUUGAGGAGAGGAGGAGAAAUAAAGAGGAACCUGGCUGCUUCUCCCUCACAGCUGCUUCCAGGUUCAUGAACCCUGAACCCUACGGAGAUCCUCCAAGGUCUGCAGGUUAAGGAAGCGAAGUGCAAAAUGGAAGGCCUUCCCCUCUUCUAGAAUCAAAUCUACGUGUUUCUGCCAGGAAGUUCUCGAAAUUCCUUGCUUUCUCACUUCAUAUCUUUCAGACAGAUGGAGAAGUGAGGCCCAAUCAACAUAUUUAUCAAGCAGAGACAUCCGGUUGCUGAACACGCAUGCCCUUCCACCUCAGAUGGACUGAGGAAUCCACCCAGGACUCUUGGGGAGUGUGUGCUCCCCAUUGUAUGAAAAGGAACAAGCUCAGGGACUAAAUGCUACAGGACAUUGUGGCCAAGGUAGAUCAGCUGCAGUACCAGAGAAGGAUGGAGGAGUAGAAGGCUCAGAGGGGGACAGCCCUACUGAAGGAGAGAAUGGUGGCAUGGUUCCUUGACCAUGACUGGAGAUUGAAGGAGGAGGACAGAAGACACACCUGUUCAAGAGGCUGCUCAGAUUCAUGCCAUCAGGCUGCAGGACCCAAUCAAUUUCACUCAUAAUUUUCUUCAUCUUUGGGAAAUUAGCCCUUUUGGAGCACCAAAUAUAUGCAUCAGCGGUUGGGACUAUCCUCUGCCCACACUGAAUGUAAUCAGGUCACGUUCACUGGUUCCUAGGCAACCACCAACUUCCAGUCCAGUGAUCAAUUCAAUUAUGUCACUGUAGUCCAGGCUUCGUGUCAAGAUACUCUCUGGACAUUAAGGCAAGGGCUUUCAUUGUGGACUGCCCCAUCGUUGAGCGGUCAUAGCUCUUAAUUCUGCUCAUUCUGGAGAACGACAGUUAUGCUUCAGUAUUUGUAAACAGUAAUGGGAGGUAAAUGCAAAGAGCGAUGUCUAGGUCUGGAAAAGCUGAUUCCAGGUGAAGAGCCUUCUGCUGUUUUAAAAGGCAAUUUACAAUUUUCAUUUGUUGUGAAAGAACAAAACUGUUCAAACUCAAGUUGCUUCAAGAUCUCAAGGAUAUUUUGCAACCCAAGUGCAGAAUGAAUCUCAGAGUGGGGUGCCAUGUUGAAAUUGGUUAGGAAGCCCAAAUCAUUUAUAUAAACAAAUAUAAGCUUCCAGGUAAUUUUGCAGGGACAUUUGCAAAUGAUCAACUAUGAAAUUAAAAGUUUCUACUCUAAAUGUUUCUGCCCAUCGCAGCUCCACAUUUGGUGUAUUGGAUUCACAUGCCUGCUGUUUAUGUUUUGGGACUUGAUGAGUUUCACUGUAGUAGGUUUCAGAGUAACAGCCGUGUUAGUCUGUAUUUGC